rnacentral:rRNA from 1 species
AGAGCGAACGCUGGCGGCAGGCCUAACACAUGCAAGUCGAGCGCCCGUAGCAAUACGGGAGCGGCAGACGGGAGAGUAACACGUGGGAACGUACCCUUCGGUUCGGAACAACCCAGGGAAACUUGGGCUAAUACCGGAUACGUCCGUAAGGAGAAAGAUUUAUCGCCGAAGGAUCGGCCCGCGUCUGAUUAGCUAGUUGGUGAGGUAACGGCUCACCAAGGCGACGAUCAGUAGCUGGUCUGAGAGGAUGAUCAGCCUCACUGGGACUGAGACACGGUCCAGACUCCUACGGGAGGCAGCAGUGGGGAAUUUGCGCAAUGGGGGAAACCCUGACGCAGCAACGCCGCGUGGAGGAUGAAGUCCCUUGGGACGUAAACUCCUUUCGAUCGGGACGAUAAUGACGGUACCGAGAGAAGAAGCCCCGGCUAACUUCGUGCCAGCAGCCGC